rnacentral:rRNA from 1 species
GCCGGAUUAAUACCGCAUACGUACUGAGGUAGAAAGCGGGGGACCGAAAGGCCUCGCGCUAUUGGAGCGGCCGAUGUCGGAUUAGCUUGUUGGUGGGGUAAUGGCCUACCAAGGCGACGAUCCGUAACUGGUCUGAGAGGACGACCAGUCACACUGGGACUGAGACACGGCCCAGACUCCUACGGGAGGCAGCAGUGGGGAAUUUUGGACAAUGGGCGCAAGCCUGAUCCAGCAAUGCCGCGUGUGUGAAGAAGGCCUUCGGGUUGUAAAGCACUUUUGUCCGGAAAGAAAUCCGUCUGGCUAAUACCCGGACGGGAUGACGGUACCGGAAGAAUAAGCACCGGCUAACUACGUGCCAGCAGCCGCGGUAAUACGUAGGGUGCGAGCGUUAAUCGGAAUUACUGGG